UACAGAGGUCUCAAGCGUUGUUCGGAUUCAUUGGGCGUAAAGGGUGCGUAGGCGGCGCGGUAAGUCGGGUGUGAAAUCUCGGGGCUUAACUCCGAAACUGCAUUCGAUACUGCCGUGCUUGAGGACUGGAGAGGAGACUGGAAUUUACGGUGUAGCGGUGAAAUGCGUAGAUAUCAAGUGGAACACCAGUGGCGAAGGCGAGUCUCUGGACAUUUCCUGACGCUGAGGCACGAAAGCCAGGGGAGCAAACGGG
rnacentral:rRNA from 1 species